rnacentral:lncRNA from 1 species
GUGACUUAAUACUCUGUGAUGGAUGCCCUUCUUCAUUUCAUCCUGAUUGCCUUGGGGUUAAGGUAUCUCUUUCAUACUGUUAUAUUGUAUUUCUUUUUCUUAAUCUUCAAUCAAAAAGCCAAUUGCUUUAUUUUGCAUUUGUUUAAACAGGAGGUUCCAGAUGGUGACUGGUUUUGCCCAUCAUGCUGUUGUAAAGUGUGUGGUGAGAGCAGAUUUGAUAAAAACAGAAAACAAUUUACAGAUAACACCCUUCUCAUUUGUUGUCAGUGUAACCAUAAAUGUGAGUACCUAUUUGAUCUUUCUCAUAUGUUCCAACAAUAUUUUGUAAUCUUUCCAGUAUAAUCCCGUGAAGUUUUUGAGCUCUUCUAUACUGAUUAAUACUUGAUUCCAUGCAGAUCAUGCUCAGUGCGUGAGAAACAACGGUCUUGAAAAACUGGAUGAUUUUCCUGUAGGAAAUUGGUUGUGCAACAAAAGUUGUAAGCUGGUAAUUGAAGCGUGCUUUCCUUACAGGGCACUUUUAAGUUGUUGAGAAGUUUAUAGAAUGCACUUUUAGGAAAUCAUGCAAUGAAAUGAAUGCUAUAUUUGAUUGUGAAAUAUAGUGAAUACAUGCUUAACUAGUGCCAUUUACAUUUUCAGUGGAUUUUUAACUCUGAGAUAUUUUAUCAGACAUUUUUUUUUCCAGAUAUGUUUGGGUAUGCGUCAGCUCCUGAAGAAAUCGGUUAUAGUGGGUAAUGACAACCUCACCUGGAGACUGUUGAAAUAUACAGAACCUGAUGAUGAGUCCAGUGUGGAGAUCUAUAGCCGACUUUGUGUCGCUUUGAAUGUGAUGCACGACAGCUUUGAACCGGUCAAAGAACGUCUCACGGGGAGAGACAUCGCAGAAGAUGUCAUAUUCAGUAGAUGGUAAGAUUCAGAGUUUCAAGAGAAGUCAGUCUAGUAUGCUGAUGUUAUCUAUUCAGCACCAUAUUAGUGCUCUACUUUUAAUUUUAAUCAUUUACUUAAAAAAAAGGUCCAUUGGGUUCAACUUCAUAAUUGACUUCAUUAAAAAAUGGAAGGGCAUUAAUUAUUUCAACUAAAGACAUACAAAAUCUGAAAUUGCAGGUCCGAGCUGAACCGGUUAAAUUUCCAAGGCUUCUACACCGUACUGUUGGAAAGAAAUGACGAACUCAUUUCAGUAGCGACCGUAAGGUACUCCCUGGUUUUAUAUUCUCAGGACGAACUGCCACUAGUUCUGUUUUCCUUGUUAACUUCUCCAUGAUUCUAAAAGUGAUAAACAAAAUUUUUACAUUAAUUAUUUACUUUUACUGUCAUUUCAAAGGGUUUAUGGAGAAAAGGUGGCAGAGAUCCCACUUGUUGCAACACAAUUUCAGCACCGCCGACUUGGAAUGUGUCGCAUUUUAUUUAAUGAGCUUGAAAAGGUAUGCAUCUCUUCUUCAGUUCAGUUUUGUGGGGUUGAGGUGUACCAAAGGAACAAAAGAGGCCCCCGAGUAUAUUCUUUCUCAUGCAGGGAAGUUUAUGAUAGCUUGGCUGCGGAUUCAAGAUUUUUAGGCUAUGUAUUUAGGCUGGUGACAAUGGUCAGCGAUCCCAAUGAGGGGUUGCUGAAGUACAUUCUGUAGGAAAAGAUUUAUUUGGAAAUAUUCGUUAUCUCAUGGUAGAAACAAUCUCAAAGGUUUCACGUUCAACUUAGUGAACUAGUGAUCUUGUGCAGGCAGAUGAUCGUUUUGAAUGUUUAAUCAUAUAUAUACUUAUUAACUGUUUCUUCUUUUGUUUUAUUAAGCAUAAUGUUUUUUCUGUCCAGACACUCGCGGGAUUAGGAGUUGAGAGGCUAGUAUUGCCAGCUGUCCCUGGUGUCCUAAACACAUGGACCACUAAAUUUGGUUUCUCAGUUGUGAAACAAUCAGAGAGAGCAAACUUCUUUGAUUACACUUUCCUUGAUUUCCAGGGUACUAUAAUGUGCCAGAAGAUCCUUGAAAAGACCCCUGCAAAAUCCCAGCAAACACAUGUCGACAAUACAAACGGCAAAGACAAUGUUGCUGUUUCCGAGGUGUUUCAAGCGACACAAGUUGAGGGUUGUGCAACUGUGGACCAAGGACGUGUGGGGUAUGUUUCCUCUCUUUUUUGUUCCGCUUUGAAAGGGUUGAAGAAGAGACUAAUCAGAGUGUUAUAAAGUUCACAUCCAUGACGAAUAGAAAUCACUGUAACAAGAAUCAUUAUAUGUACUUUUUUUUAAACUAAUCAUAUGGACCAGCAUUCAAAAUCACUCAUAUGGAAAUCAAUUAUAUGAACAAUAAAUCAAGUAGACUCAAUAACUGUGUGGCAUAACUAUCAACGGAGGAGCUAUCACACUAGAUCUAUCUCAAAUAAUCAUUUACUACUUUCAUACAUAAGGACAGCUGAGCCCAGUGCACUAAGCUCCCGCUAUGUGCGAGAUCUGGGGAAAGGCCGGACCACAUUGCAUAGGUAUUUAUAGGUUUUCUUCUAGCAUGUACCUAGUCUAUUACAUGCACAUAAUUCAAUUCCGGAUUUUCUUUCAUCUUCUCUAGUUCAUGAACAAACUAAAACAAUAUAUCUAUCAUAACUAAUUUUCUAUAUAUACAUAUCAAAAAUUAAAAAUAAAAUUAUCUUUCCAACACAAAGUUCACUCCUAUACAUACUUAGAAAAUGUCAUUCCAUAGUAAUAAAUUUUUUAGUUAUUGGAUCCUUGUCAUAAUUAACCAUCAUUUGUUAUUUUUAACAGGUUAACCAACAAGCUUGAUCAACCUUAGCAGCCUACCUUGCCAGUGAUCAUCGCAAUGAUAGUGGCCUGGUAACAUGCUACAAGCUGUGUCGGAUAAAUCGUCGUGUAUAAAUCAAGCUUUUUUCAGAAGAGGUGAUUCUCAACAGUGAGCUGGUGAUUUCUUGAGGAAAAAAGGUUGAACCAGCAGAGGAGCUGUGAGUACCUAUCUCUUACAGGAUAGUUAUUUAAAAAACCUGGAUAUUUGUACUCAGGUUUAAUAUUUAGUUUUCCUCCUUUACAAAAAGUAGGAGGGAAUUUAUCAAGACUAUGAUAUAUGUAAAUCUGAUUAGAUUAGUUCAAAUUGGCCUUAGCAGCUUUUGUAUUGUUCCUGAUAGUAUCAUACAUAGAGCCAGAUUUUCGUUGGCUUUCAUAUAUGUUGUUUUGCCUAGAACAGAGUUUAUUUCUUGACUGCUAAUACUAAAAAAGCGAAACUUUUGCUGAGAUGCAAGUUGUACCCAAGGAGGUUUUGAAACCUCCUUGGAAUGGAAGGUAAGGUUAAGUACAAUAGUCGGUUGUGGUCCUGUCCUUCCCCGGACUUGUGCAUAGAUCGAGCUUAGUGGACUGUGAUGCCUUUUUUAAUCUAGAAUAUAAGUUCUAGUAUUGAAAGUUAAUUGUAUUGGUUCACUAACCUUGUCAAUUAUAUUAGAGGACCAGGAGAAGCAAUUCACAGGGCUUCGUUCUUCUUCAUUCUGAAUCCUGACUCUGGAUUAUCCCAUCCCGCUCUUCCUUUUUUUGAUGCAUAAUUUGCAGGUAGUUCCGUAUCUAUCAAUUCAAUCAAAUAGUCCGAGCAAUUGUCGCCGUUUAUAGAUAUUGAAAUGAACACCUUUCCAUUCUUCCUCCGUUAUUCCUCAUUCUAGAUCCUGAUUCCGGAUUCUCCCAUCCCGUUGUUCCUUUUUGAGAUGCAUGGAAGCAAGCAAUUUGUAGGGGAGAGUCUCUGUAUUUAUCAAUUUGAUCAAAUAAACUGAGCAAUUGUCACUCACCGUCUAUAGAUAUUGAAAUGAACACAUUCCCGUUCUCCUCCGUUCUUCCUCAUUUUAGAUCCUGACUCUCAAUUCUCCCUGAUGCUUAGUUAGCAAGCAAAUUGCAGAGAACAGUUUCAUAUCUAUCAAUUCGAUCAAAUACUCUGAGAAAUUUUCACCGUUUAAAGAUAUUGAAACGAACACCGUCCCAUUCUCCCUCCGUUCUUCCUCAUUCUAGAUCCUGACUCUGGAUUCUCCUCUCCGUUCUUCCUUUUUGAGAUGCAUAGUAGCAAGCAAUUUGCAAGGAAGAGUUUCGUAUAUAUCAAUUCGAUCAAUACCGUUUAUAGAUAUUGAAAUAAAUGCCUUCCCAUUCUUUCUCCGUUCUUCCUCAUCUAACUCUGAAUCCUGGAUAGCAAUUUGCUUGGCUUACACUCCCCUUCGUUUCAACUUCAAACAUCGCAAAUUUUCAGGUUUCAACUUCAUAAUCUACGCCCUUAAAACAUAAUACAAGGACAAAAAAGUGAGAGAUCUGCCUAACCCGUGACACUCUGCUCCAUUGCUUCUGUGUUAUUCAGAGCAACAUUAUCCUCUUUCUGGUGUUGCCUUUAACUAGACAAUAACAGGAACCCCAAACGUCUGUUGAGUUUUUUUUUUUUUCACUUUGAGAAAAAGUUACUGUAUUUCCA